CAGUUGCUGAACAUAACCAUUGCAGUCCAACCUAAUAUUGGUUCCUUUCUUCUAACUCUUCCUUCCACUUCCAUGUUGCCAAAGUUGUCAAUAAUGAGUCUGGAUUGGACAAUACCAAUAGUGAAUAGUGAUUCAUUGUCACAGCACCACCACUUCCUGGGAACAGGAAGUGAGGCUUACUCAGAAAACAGUACUUCUACUUCGUUACAUUGGACUAUACACCAUCGCUACUUUUACUUGACUAGAAUUUAUUUUUAUUUAAAUUUUUACACUCGGCUGCUUUGGAGUUCUCCUUCAGCGAAUUUCCAACUGAGAGAGUAAGCCUCAGCAGCACCACAAAAUUAGCAGAGGAGUAGCUUGUGUAACUGAAGACAAAUGUACGUGUGUCACCCUCAAAGGAGAAUCUACAUCCCUUGCCUUUUAAAUGACAGGAAACAAUAGUCAUAUUAUGUGCUGCUAACUUUGUUGACAUAAAACUGUGAAUAUCUCAAGCUUCAAAAACAGCACAUCUAAUCUGAGAAAGCAUGUAAUGGCCAUAAAGUGUGGAUCAAAGUUCUCUGGAUAAGUGAGUCUGCCAAAUGCUGUAAGACACAUGCCUACCAAAGAUGUGAGUGAAAAUGCCCACAAUUAACAAAGUAUGUCCCAGGGCAGUGGUUCCCAAACUUUUCCAGGGCAAGGCCCCCCAAAUGGCAUUAACAUUUGACCGAGGCCUCCCUUUUGCAAGAUGUCUUUAAAACACAUUAAAAAUACAGACUUCUGAAUAGAUCUGAAUAUAUAAUAUAUAAUAGUAUAUAAUACAUAAUUUUAUUAAUAAUUACAUCUUGUAUCUUUACAUUACAUUAGAUUAGGAAUUGAUUGUGUGUGUGUGGUUGUCUGAGAGUGAGAAAAAGGAAAUCAUGUAUUUACUUAUUUUUCACACCAAAUUGUUGAGGCCCCCUGGGCGCCCCCCACUUUGAAAACCACUGUCCCAGGGGAUGCAACAGAGUCUCUUAUUACAUGUAUAGUAUGUUAUUACCAUCAGAAUUAGGAGUGCAGUGAUAAAGUAAAUUCUGAUAGUGUUGGCAAACAUCACAGCAGUUCAGUUCACUG
ensembl:lncRNA